AGAUUGAUAGCUCUUUCUUGAUUCGGUGGGUGGUGGUGCAUGGCCGUUCUUAGUUGGUGGAGCGAUUUGUCUGGUUAAUUCCGAUAACGAACGAGACUCUAGCCUACUAAAUAGUUCGCCGAUUCUCCUUGUCGGCGUCAACUUCUUAGAGGGACAAGUGGCGUUUAGCCACGCGAGAUUGAGCAAUAACAGGUCUGUGAUGCCCUUAGAUGUUCGGGGCCGCACGCGCGCUACACUGAAAGAAUCAUCGUGUGCUGACCUAGUCCGACAGGACCGGGCAACCCGUUGAACCUCUUUCGUGCUAGGGAUUGGGGCUUGCAAUUGUUCCCCAUGAACGAGGAAUUCCCAGUAAGCGCGAGUCAUCAGCUCGCGUUGAUUACGUCCCUGCCCUUUGUACACACCGCCCGUCGCA
rnacentral:rRNA from 1 species